rnacentral:rRNA from 1 species
AGGAUGUUGGCUUAGAAGCAGCCAUCAUUUAAAGAGUGCGUAAUAGCUCACUAGUCGAGUGACACUGCGCCGAAAAUGUACCGGGGCUAAACAUAUUACCGAAGCUGUGGAUUGUCCUUUGGACAAUGGUAGGAGAGCGUUCUAAGGGCGUUGAAGCAUGAUCGUAAGGACAUGUGGAGCGCUUAGAAGUGAGAAUGCCGGUGUGAGUAGCGAAAGACGGGUGAGAAUCCCGUCCACCGAUUGACUAAGGUUUCCAGAGGAAGGCUCGUCCGCUCUGGGUUAGUCGGGUCCUAAGCUGAGGCCGACAGGCGUAGGCGAUGGAUAACAGGUUGAUAUUCCUGUACCACCUAUAAUCGUUUUAAUCGAUGGGGGGACGCAGUAGGAUAGGCGAAGCGUGCGAUUGGAUUGCACGUCUAAGCAGUAAGGCUGAGUAUUAGGCAAAUCCGGUACUCGUUAAGGCUGAGCUGUGAUGGGGAGAAGACAUUGUGUCUUCGAGUCGUUGAUUUCACACUGCCGAGAAAAGCCUCUAGAUAGAAAAUAGGUGCCCGUACCGCAAACCGACACAGGUAGUCAAGAUGAGAAUUCUAAGGUGAGCGAGCGAACUCUCGUUAAGGAACUCGGCAAAAUGACCCCGUAACUUCGGGAGAAGGGGUGCUCUUUAGGGUUAACGCCCAGAAGAGCCGCAGUGAAUAGGCCCAAGCGACUGUUUAUCAAAAACACAGGUCUCUGCUAAACCGUAAGGUGAUGUAUAGGGGCUGACGCCUGCCCGGUGCUGGAAGGUUAAGAGGAGUGGUUAGCUUCUGCGAAGCUACGAAUCGAAGCCCCAGUAAACGGCGGCCGUAACUAUAACGGUCCUAAGGUAGCGAAAUUCCUUGUCGGGUAAGUUCCGACCCGCACGAAAGGCGUAACGAUUUGGGCACUGUCUCAACGAGAGACUCGGUGAAAUCAUAGUACCUGUGAAGAUGCAGGUUACCCGCGACAGGACGGAAAGACCCCGUGGAGCUUUACUGUAGCCUGAUAUUGAAAUUCGGCACAGCUUGUACAGGAUAGGUAGGAGCCUUUGAAACGUGAGCGCUAGCUUACGUGGAGGCGCUGGUGGG